rnacentral:rRNA from 1 species
UGGGGAAUCUUGCACAAUGGGGGAAACCCUGAUGCAGCGACGCCGCGUGAGCGAUGAAGCCCUUCGGGGUGUAAAGCUCUUUCGGCAGGGAAGAUGAUGACGGUACCUGCAGAAGCAGCUGCGGCUAACUACGUGCCAGCAGCCGCGGUAAUACGUAGGCAGCAAGCGUUGUUCGGAGUUACUGGGCGUAAAGGGUGUGUAGGCGGUCGAUCAAGUUUGGUGUGAAAUCUCCCGGCUCAACUGGGAGGGUGCGCCGAAUACUGAUGGACUCGAGUGCGGGAGAGGAAAGUGGAAUUCCUGGUGUAGCGGUGAAAUGCGUAGAUAUCAGGAGGAACACCGGUUGCGAAGGCGGCUCUCUGGACUGUAACUGACACUGAGGCACGAAAGCGUGGGGAGCAAACA